rnacentral:rRNA from 1 species
CCUACGGGAGGCAGCAGUGAGGAAUAUUGGUCAAUGGCCGCAAGGCUGAACCAGCCAAGUCGCGUGAAGGAAGACGGAUCUAUGGUUUGUAAACUUCUUUUAUAGGGGAAUAAAGGUAUCCACGUGUGGAUAUUUGCAUGUACCCUACGAAUAAGCAUCGGCUAACUCCGUGCCAGCAGCCGCGGUAAUACGGAGGAUGCGAGCGUUAUCCGGAUUUAUUGGGUUUAAAGGGAGCGUAGAUGGGUGGUUAAGUCAGUUGUGAAAGUUUGCGGCUCAACCGUAAAAUUGCAAUUGAUACUGGCAGUCUUGAGAGCAGUUGAGGUAGGCGGAAUGCGUGGUGUAGCGGUGAAAUGCUUAGAUAUCACGAAGAACACCGAUUGCGAAGGCAGCUUACUAAGCUGUGACUGACAUUGAUGCUCGAAAGUGUGGGUAGCAAACAGGAUUAUAUACCCCUGUAGUC